AAGUGGAGAAUUUAAUAGGUUUUAAAAUAAAUAAAUAUAAACACUCAGGGAAACAUUGUUUUUAACUUUACAAUUUAUUUCUGUCACAACAUUACAUAAAGGUAUAAGAACUAAAAAAUAUUGUACCCCUUUCAAAGGGAGUAGUCCAGAUUAUGCCUAAUAUCAUAAUGAUGGCAACAUCUGUAUAGCUACAAUGGAUAUUAUAUGAAGUAGCAUGAAUAGCUGGAGCUCAGGGAAAGGCAAGCAUGAUCGACACCCUCAAAAAAAUUCCCAUUGCCUUUGUGUCAUAUGAGCAAAAAUAAUCUAGUUUUCAGAGUUUAUUGCAUCUUCUGCUGCAAAUUAAGGCCCCAAUGAGUAACACAUCACUAUAUCAUCAAGCACUGAUGCCCAUAUGAACUGGCAUUGAUGUCAUCGUCAUCAAAAUAGCAUGAGUAAAUCAACAGUGAGAUGGAAGUAUAUUAAAUUGACAAAUUACGCCACCUUUAUGAACAAUAUCCAAGUGCCAUGUUGUAAUUGAUCCCAGAUAACCCAUACUACAUGGAUAAUAUACGUGUGUAACUGUGUAAGCGAUCACGGAGCUUUGGCAGUGAAGAAAUAUUUAGUGCCCUGCAAUCAGCUCCUUUCUUCCUCUCUGCAGAAACAGUACAUGAGAAAUUUUGGAAUAUAUAUUCACGAAACAAAAUAUGUUACAAAAUAAGACAAUCUACAGUAAUAAUUUUAGACCACACUUCUUUCUAUACAACCCCACGGUUUCAAAUUUCCUCGAUCAAAUCAUUUUUUCACUUAUGAAUUGACCCAUACAUGUGGCACACAUGUCAUUCUUUCUUGGAUCAUUCUCAAAAAAAUACAAAUACAAAGUAGAGAAUGACAAUCAACUUAUUACUCUAAUCUGCUGAGACAAAUAAAAGGUGAGGCAUCACUCAAUAGAAAAUUAAUGUGUUAUUUCGUAUAGACCACCCGUUUAUUUUUAGGUUGAAGUUUUCCGUCCAAAGAAAGUAGACAAUCAAAUUUGAGCAAAUAAAUAGUACAAUCAAACCUUCUCUUUGACACUACUCUCUUUAUAGUCGAUAGGGGUUGAUUUGACAUGGAUAACUUGAUUGGAUGAUGGUAAGAGUAGUAGCAGCAGCUAUAAACCAUAUCAAGAGCAUUUAUACAGUCCAAAAGCAUGCAAAGAAUAGGGAAUCUUUUUUAAAAAUGGAGCUCAAAUUUGAGAAGGAUUUUCAGUUGUCGCCCAGUCACUAUGACCGGAAGAGGUGUAGGGCCAGCUAAACCACAAUGGAUACAACAGUCAACGACCAGACCACCCAGACGCACCGUUACUUCAACAGAACCAUCUCACUUCUGAAGCACAUCAUCUCCAACAGUCGAAUUCCAAGAUGUCUGACUGCCUACUUGGGAUUGGAGUUACAGGGAGUGCCUAAUUUUUAUGUUUCUAGCUUAAUUCACUUUUCUUCGGGUUCUAGCUCUCAACUAAGUAAUCUAAUGCAGAAUGUUGAUUAGUGUGUUAUCUCUGCUCAUAGCAUUUUUCACGUCUAAUGAAUCUCGUAUGUUUUCAUAUUAUACUCAGAUGAACCAGAUUUUUACAUAAUGCUACUUUUUGGGAGACUGCAUCAGAUGAUUCUUUUGAAGAUGAAGGGCACACGGAGCACCUUUGCCUUGCCAUGGUGCUCAAGAACUUAGUGAAUUUAAGAUUCCAAAAGCAGUCAGGCGAUAUGGUUGGAGCUUCUGCAACACCUCACUACCACCCCGUGGAAACAAUGCCUCUACUCCUCUACCGAGAAUGAAUCUUCCUAAUUAAAAAUCUCUUACAAAAAUAUUCACUGGAGGGGGGAUCAAUAUAACCUAUCUUGAUUCAGAUCCAAAGGAAUAUCAUUCUUGAUUUGGGACGAAGGCAGGGUUCUUGUGUUGAAUUAGCUGAUGAGAAUAUGAGAGAAGGGAGUAGUACCUGCUGGGCGGAAGCGUGACGGCCAUCUGGACGGUUGCUCGCUU
rnacentral:lncRNA from 1 species